UACGUAGGGGGCAAGCGUUGUCCGGAAUCAUUGGGCGUAAAGAGCUCGUAGGCGGUCUGUCGCGUCUGCCGUGAAAACCCGAGGCUUAACCUCGUGGCUUGCGGUGGAUACGGGCAGACUAGAGGUAGGUAGGGGAGAAUGGAAUUCCCGGUGUAGCGGUGAAAUGCGCAGAUAUCGGGAGGAACACCGGUGGCGAAGGCGGUUCUCUGGGCAUGAUCUGACGCUGAGGAGCGAAAGUGUGGGGAGCGAACAGG
rnacentral:rRNA from 1 species